AGGUUUCGGAGUUGGGUUGGUACAAAGAGGAGAAGGAGGCUAGGUCUCCAGAUGCAUUCAUUUUUUGAGGCCUCAUCUCUUCCCAUGGGCCACUGCUACCGUGUUCUAGUGUCCUGCUCUGCUGGGCCAGUGCCGCUCGAAGGAUGGAAGGGCUGGGCAGACCUGGUUCCUUGGUUGCUGGGCAAAGCAGCUGAAUCAGCAGAAAUGGCAGGGCUGGCAUCUGUCCAGAAAGGAAUAAACACACCAGCUACUCCUUCCUGGGAUUGUUCUACACUGAGGCUGUUGGAGGAGGAGGAGAAAAUGGCCUCCACUUCUGGACAAUGUGCAGAGAACCUAGAGAGUGUUGCUUCCACUCCUGGUGGUUCUCUCUCUGGCCUCGGCUGACUCUGGACCUGCAGUGAAGCUGAGGGGGUGUCUGUCUAAGGGAGUGCUGGUUUGCCACAAAACUCCAUCGUAACUGAAAGAGGAAAUCUUCUACAAAUUCCAGAAAGCUUGGGGAGAAACAAUCCGACGGCACAAGUUCAAGUGCCCAACGGGGUGGAGAAGGGACUGCAUACUCAUUGGUUGCCAGGCCGAGGUUGUCCGCCUUGCCUGCUUUGGCUGAGACUGGAGACGGAAACUCCAUUCAACAGCGACUGGAGGACUGAAACGGCGCAAGAGGGCGGCUGCCCUUCACCUACUGGUCCCUCCCUGCCUUGGCGCCUUCGGAGUUCGGACUGACCCGGGAUGUUGCUGGAGCCGGCAGGAACUGCAAACUCACCGCGCGCGUCCCUGCACACCCGCACCUGCGCCUCGAGAACUCCUGGCCAGUUGAAUACCCGGUCUGCCGCCGAGCUUCGCUGCAGGUCACAGGAAAGGGGUGCAGGGUUGCGUACCCGGCGGGAGAAGCCGCGCGGAGAGGACCAGGUGCUGCUACUGGCCUCCGAGAAGACAGGCCUAGAGUAGCUGAUUUUGACCUGCAGGGCCAAAGUCUAACGGCGGCCUAAAACCCUAACGUCUGGGCGAGCCGCGGGUAGCGAGUUGAAGCGAUCUCUAUGCCUUGCUUGUCGUUUGCCAAAAUUCAGACCAAGAAAGAGAAUAGUUGUGUGGAUCAAAGUCUGCAAUUAACCAAAAAAGAAACAUGAUCCUGUGUUAGCUUACUUAGGAAAAAAGGAAGAAGGAAGGAAAGAAGGAAGGAAGGGAGGAAAGGUUGGAGGGAGGGAAGAAAGAUGAAAAAAUCAACCAAAAAAAGAACAUAAUUUCCUAACUAAUCGGAUGUGGGUCAUGAGAGAAAGACCUGCGUCCAGUUUUUGGCCUGAACGUGUGGAGGGUGGAGUUGCCAUUAACUAACGUGAGAAAAGGCAGGUGUAGUACGUUGUAGAGAAAAUAUCCGGAAUUCCGUUCAGGGCCCUGGGGUCUUCCUUGAAAGAGUUUUCCAUCCAGGCCGUCUCGGUUUCCGCAUCCGUCUGAGUCGUUUAUGAUGUCGGGAAUGCAGGAAUCUGAGUCCUUUAUGAUGUUGAGGGUGCCACGGUCUCACCCCGGGCGCCUCCCCGCUCCAGCCUCCUCCCGGAAGCCUGGUGCGCUCUGGCCCCGCCGACCAGCGACAGUCUCUCCACGCGCUGCCGCCUAGCAAAGGCGCAUCUUUAGGUCGGUAGUGAGGUGCGGCCGGGACGCUGCAACUCGCUCCGGGACUUGUAAACCUGGCAGGUGUUCGAGGAGCGCCACUGGCUGGAAGGAAAGGAGAGAGCUCUGCACGUCGCGUGUGGGCUCGCAACUUGGAGAAAGCAGGGAGAGGACAGCCUUUUGGGACUAUUCCUUGGAUGGGCGGGUGGCACCAGGAAGGGUAGAUGGAGCUUUCUAGAGGUCAAUGUCAGCGUAAUUUCUGCUGAAGCAAUUGAAGGAGGAAAAAAAAAAAGUAUGUGCUUUGUGGUUCCCUGGUAGUCUAGUGGCUAAAGUUUGGCGCUCUCACCGCCGGGACUGGUUGAUUCCAGAUCAGGGGACUGGGUCUCAGCCUCACUGUGAGGUAUUGUUCUUUCCUGUGUUUGCCAUCUACCACCGCUGUGGCUCAAUUAUUUCAAGACUGCUGGAGAAAUGGAAUUAAUGUCGAUCCUAACAUUUAAGCUAUUUAUCUAGGAUAAAUUCCAAAUAGUGGAACUGCUAGGUGAAAUUUAUUGUGAAUUUAAGAUUCCGAUGUAUACAGCCCUACAACGUAUAAGCACCAAUUACAUUCCCCAAAGUGUGUGAGACUGCGUCUUUUCCCCAGAAUUUAAAACCAAUGCUAGAAAUUAUCAGUCUUUUAGAGAUAAUUUUAAGCUUAUUUAUCAUCAAAGGAUUUCUUCAUAGUCAAUUUCCCCUUAGACUAUAAAUCCGCAAGAGAUGGCAAAGCUGGAAGAACUGCCUAGAAUUUCAGCAAACUUGAAUUCAAUAGUCUCUCUGUUCUUUCCUGUUUUGGCACCUACCCUUUUCUUCCAGUUAAGAUUGGACACAAUAGAAAAAUAAUUAAUAAAUGUAAUAAAAAUGUAAGCCUGGACGUUUUGCUCACAGUGUUCUCACUGGGUCUAAAUUUUGUGAAUGUGGUUCCUUGGAUGGUCUCAUGGGUAUGCUUGAGACUUUAGGCCCUUGGGACACCUGGUGCACAGAAGGGUCCCAAAACCCAUCUUUGGAAGUGUUGGCAGAGUAAAUAGGCACCAGUAAUAAAGGCAACGGCGCCUGAAUACGUAAGGCUGGUUUAAACCAAAGCAGAUUUUUCAAAACCAGAGAGGGCU
rnacentral:lncRNA from 1 species